GUUUUUUAUUUUUUACUUUUAGAUUAUUUUAUGUGUAUGAGUGUUUUGUCUUCAUGUGUGCCUGCACUACAGGUGCGGGAACUUGAGGAUGUGGUGAGCCUCCAUGUGGGAAUCAAACCUGCGUUCUUUCAACAAGUGCUCUUAACACACUGAGCCAACACUCCAGCUCAACAUUUUUUUUAAUUUAAUUUUUAAAUUUUAUAUACAUUGGUGCUUUGACUGCAUGUCUGUGUGAGGGGGUACAGAAGAUACAGACAGUUGGGAGCCCAAGUCUCUACAAGAGCAGCUAGUGCUCUUAACCACGGAACCAUCAUCUCUCCAGCCCAAGGACAAAGUCUUAACCCAGGUGUUAGGCUCCAGCUCGCUACAGCCCCACCCCCACCGAUGGUGCCGAAACCGAGUUCCAGGUAGCCACAGCCCUUCUCCUGAAUGAUCACCAGGCACUUGAGUCAUGACCUUACAUGGGGAAAAAAAAGCCAGCUCUUGUCUGACACACAACCUUUCCCCUUGCUCAGGACUCUUAAGAAUCGUCCAUCAUGGGUCCUUGGUCCAAGAGCUGCACCAAUAAACCUGACCUUGUUCGUUUGCCAAAUGAACCAAACCCAUGAGCCUCUCACCAAGGAGGGUUCUCAAGGAGGCCUACCCAUAUUAUUACUGCAGACUCUGCGGAUAGAAUAAGUGCAGUUGAGAUCGAAAGACCCUCGAUCAAUUUCAGAGAAGGAAGGCCAUUCGAGUUCAGGGUCCGAACUUUGAGGGUUUUGACUUAGCACCAGAUGGUUUUAGAGCUUUGACUCCGAAGCCAUAUCCCGCAACUCAUUUUCUGAAAUCAGAAAACUUGUCAAGAAGGGAUAGAGACAGAGGAUUGACCGAUGGCGCGGGUUGGAAUGAGGACCACCAGACACCGAACGAACGAAGUUGUUACUGGGUCCAAUUUUCUAAAAACCGAACGGCUCCUGAACUCAGAAACUAGAUGGUGUUGGGGACCUCUCGGCAGAGGACUGAGGGAACGUCGCCACACAUGGCUUCCCUCCUAGUGUUUGGCCGGCCAAGAACUGAAUGGUCACGCCCAGACGGAACGAACAGAGGCACCUCUUUCCUUACAACUCGGGUGGGACCGAGUGCUGUAGUAGAUAGGAGUAAGAUCAAACUUUAACCAGGUACACAGAGCAUACUUUGUGGUUAUAACUUUCGAGAUGCGAGGAGUACAAACUGCUCACGUUAACUGAAUUCUGCAGCUCAUGGUGGAGCACAUGCCUAGCUUGCUCAUGGCCCCUACAUGGAGCCCUAGCACCAAGGAGAGAAGCACGUGUAUUGACACACGUGUCACGUAAGCGCCAGUUAUCGUACAACCGGAUUUCUCUGCAACCCGUCUUGAUCUGUAGCAGAUCAAGCUACGUCCUCUAACGUUAUCCUAUCAGGAAACUACGGAUAUUAAUGCACCAAUCUUCUUGGAAAUGCACUUUAGCGUUUGAAGCCACAUGAUGCAGGAUAGACAGUUUGGUCACAUGACGACGCUUGUACGGUUCCCUUCCGCGCAUCUGUAACAUCCCUUAAGAUGCCUGAUUACUUUCCCUUCUUUCGAGAAAGACGCUGCCAAUUGCCGCAGAAAGAGUGAGAGGAUGGGAGCUCGUUUCUGCCACUGUAACGUACAGAGGUCGUGCUCCCACGAAGAGGCGCGCUCCCAACCCUUCCAUCUCCUUUUCCUUCAGGCGCACGCGGGGGCAGCCCUGUGUCUCUCUGGGUCCUUUCGCUCCGCGGGCGCCGGAGCUACGUCACCGAGCGGCGCCAGUGGUCCGGAUUUUCCCCGGCUCCAUUCGAGCCGCGGCCUCAAUGUCCUUGCCUCGGUGUACCUUGCUGUGGGCUCGGCUCCCGGCGGGGCGCGGGGCUGGGCCCCGGGCGGCCCCUUGCUCCGCCCUUCGCGCUCUCGUGGGGUCGUUCCCGGGGGCUUCAGGACGCGUUCCCUGCUUGGCCGCCUCCUCCUCUGCCUCUGGUGGCUCCAAAGCCCCGAACACGUCCUUGUUCGUGCCGCUGACGGUGAAGCCUCAGGGUCCCAGCGCCGAUGGCGACGUGGGCGCGGAGCUCACUCGGCCUCUAGACAAGAAUGAAGUAAAGAAGAUCUUAGACAAGUUUUAUAAGAGGCAAGAAAUUCAAAAGCUGAGUGCUGACUAUGGACUUGAUGCUCGUCUCUUCCACCAGGCUUUCAUAAGCUUCAGGAAUUACAUUAUGCAAUCCCAUUCUCUGGACGUGGACAUUCACAUUGUCCUGAAUGAUAUCUGCUUCAGUGCAGCUCAUGUGGACGAUUUAUUUCCAUUUUUCUUGAGACAUGCCAAACAAAUAUUUCCUGUAUUGGAAUGCAAGGAUGAUCUACGUAAAAUCAGUGACUUGAGGAUACCACCCAACUGGUACCCAGAAGCCAGAGCGAGACAGCGGAAGAUAAUAUUCCACUCAGGCCCUACCAACAGUGGGAAGACUUACCAUGCCAUCCAGAGAUACCUGUCAGCGACCUCUGGCGUGUACUGCGGUCCUCUAAAACUGCUGGCGCACGAGAUCUUUGAGAAGAGCAAUGCUGCUGGUGUGCCGUGUGACUUGGUGACAGGUGAAGAGCGGCUGACAGUGGAGCCUGAGGGGAAACAAGCCACCCAUGUCUCUUGCACUGUGGAGAUGUGCAAUGUUGCAACUCCUUAUGAAGUGGCAGUGAUAGAUGAAAUCCAGAUGAUUCGAGACCCAGCCAGAGGAUGGGCUUGGACCAGAGCACUGCUAGGGCUCUGUGCCGAGGAAGUCCAUUUAUGUGGAGAGUCUGCUGCUAUUAACCUGGUCUCUGAGCUCCUGUACACCACUGGGGAGGAAGUAGAGGUUCAGAAGUAUGAGAGGCUUACCCCCAUUUCUGUGCUGGAUCAUGCGCUGGAGUCUUUGGACAACCUUCAGCCUGGGGACUGCAUUGUCUGCUUUAGCAAGAAUGACAUUUAUUCUGUGAGCCGACAGAUUGAAAUUCGGGGACUGGAAUCCGCGGUGAUAUACGGCAGCUUGCCACCUGGGACCAAACUUGCUCAAGCAAGAAAGUUUAAUGACCCCAAUGAUCCAUGCAAGAUCCUGGUAGCCACAGAUGCAAUUGGCAUGGGACUUAAUUUCCCAGCAUCAAUGAAAAGGGAGAGAAGGAGCUGGAGCCCAUCACCACCUCCCAAGCCCUGCAGAUUGCAGGCAGAGCUGGCAGAUUCAGCUCACACUUUAAAGAGGGGCAGGUUACCACAAUGCACCGAGACGACCUGGCUUUAUUGAAGGACAUUUUGAAUAGACCUGUGGAUCCUAUACAGGCCGCCGGUCUCCACCCGACUGCCGAGCAGAUUGAGAUGUUUGCCUACCACCUCCCCGAGACAACGCUGUCCAAUCUCAUUGAUAUUUUUGUAGACUUUGCACAAGUUGAUGGGCAGUACUUUGUCUGCAAUAUGGAUGAUUUUAAGUUCUCUGCAGAGCUGAUCCAGCAUAUCCCACUAAGUCUCCGGGUGAGGUAUGUGUUCUGCACAGCCCCCAUCAAUAAGAAGCAGCCUUUUGUCUGCUCGUCGUUGUUACAGUUUGCCAGGCAGUACAGCAGGAAUGAGCCCCUGACCUUUGCAUGGCUACGCCGGUACAUCAAGUGGCCUCUGCUUCCGCCUAAGAAUAUUAAAGACCUCAUGGAUCUUGAAGCUGUCCAUGACGUCUUUGAUCUUUACCUGUGGCUAAGCUACCGAUUUAUUGAUAUGUUUCCAGACUCUAGCCUUGUUCGAAGUCUCCAGAAAGAGCUGGAUGCCAUUAUCCAAGAAGGCGUGCACAACAUCACCAAGCUGAUUAAAAUCUCUGAGUCACGCAAGCUUUUGAAUCUGGAGAGCUUACCAUCGGGGGACCAGUCACGGUUGUCAGGAGCCUCCAAGAGCCCAGCGAGAAGGACACGUGGCACCAAAAGUGCAGGGAAUAAGGCCACAGAGCCACUCAGCCCCAGUGACAAGGAGCUGCCCCUUGCCUCUAGGUUGGUGCAGCAAGGACUCCUCACUGCAGACAUGCUCAGGCAGCUCCAGAAGGAGUGGCUGACACAGCAGCCAGAACACAGCAGAGAGAAAGUGGGGACACGGAGAAAGAAGAAGGACCCCGACUCCGAUUAGGUUUUUUUAAUUUUGCAAAUAAAAAUCAAUUUUAAAUCCUUAUGCACACGGCAUUCUCUGCCUGAGGCAGGAUUGUGGCCAACUUGUACUA